CAACAGCUCAAAUUUGAAAUCUGGCCCCCAGGGCCCGAGUUGUAAUUUGCAGAGGAUGCUUUUGGCGCGGGGCCUUCCGAGUUCCCUGGAACGGGACGCCUUAUAGGGUGAGAGCCCCGUCUGGUCCGACGCCUAGCCUGUGUAAAGCUCCUUCGACGAGUCGAGUAGUUUGGGAAUGCUGCUCUAAAUGGGAGGUAUAUGUCUUCUAAAGCUAAAUACCGGCCAGAGACCGAUAGCGCACAAGUAGAGUGAUCGAAAGAUGAAAAGUACUUUGAAAAGAGGGUUAAAUAGUACGUGAAAUUGUUGAAAGGGAAGCGCUUGUGACCAGACUUGGGGCCUGAGGAUCAUCCGGCGUUCUCGCUGGUGCACUCCCCCGGGUUGACGCCAUCAUCAUUUCGCCGCGGGGGAAAGAGGCUUCAGGAACGUGGCUCCUACGGGAGUGUUAUAGCCCGCUGCAUAAUACCCUGGGGCGGACUGACGUUCCCGCUCCGCAGGGAUGCUGGCGUAGUGUUCAUCAGCAACCCCUCUUGACACACAGACCAGAGAGAAUCACUAGUGC
rnacentral:rRNA from 1 species